GCCGCUGCUGACGUGCCAGGAAAGCAGCUAUCGCUGGGACCUGGCCUGGCUUUCCCUGGUAGCCUUGAGGAGACAGAGGAAACCUGAGUCCACAAGUGUAUCAAUGACCCUCCAGUUUGGGAAUUCCUCAUGUUCAUCUGCCGAUUAAAGUCCAGAACCUUAACAUUUUCUCACACCGUGUCGAAACCGGGUAUCUUCCAGCAAGGAUGAAAGAGAACAUUGGUUCAGAAGAAUGGAGAAGGGUUUGCCACCAAUCAGCCACAAGGAACUCAAUCUCCGAGUAAAAUUAAAGGCACAAAUUCCCACUUCACCAACCCCCUUGAGGCAAAGAAGUCGUCACCGUGGUGAUGAGGAAUUCAUCCCAUUGAGAAUGAGAUUCAAAGUGUGGUGAGUACUCCAGCAGGCUACCGGUUAUGUUUCUUUCAAAAGCUUCUCUGGUCUUCUGGAAUGGCAAGAGUUGACUACCCAUGAGAAACCAACCCAGAUUCCUUGGAACCCGUGGGCCAGGUUAGGCUCCCCCCACCUAACAAGUGCCACUUUUCAGUCCUAUCUACCCUCUAGCUGUUGCCUUUAUCAUGGGUGCCACUUCAAUCAAUA
rnacentral:lncRNA from 1 species